rnacentral:tRNA from 1 species
GUGGCAUGCCGGAGUGGUUAUCAGGCAUGACUAGAAAUCAUGUGGGCUUUUCCCGCGCAAGUUUGAAUCUUGUUGCUCACG